rnacentral:misc_RNA from 1 species
GUGGAAGAAACCUCAAGAACUCUCCAGUCAAAGCCGUCUACUCGGGCGAGUUGUCAUCACUGGAUAGGAAUUCUCGCCAAGGCAUUUGGUCUAUAAGGGAUGAUCUGCAAAUUCCAUCUUCACCAUACUUCCCAGCUUACGCACAAGGGCAAGGUCCACCUCCAAUGGUGCAGGAACGCUUCCAAAGUGUUAUAAGCCAGCUUUUUCAAUAUAGAAG